rnacentral:rRNA from 1 species
GUCAGGUCUUUAUUGCCCUUACGUCCAGGGCUAGAAACGCGCUACAAUGGCCGGUACAAUGGGCAGCCAACCCGCGAGGGGGAGCAAAUCUCAUCAAAACCGGUCCCAGUUCGGAUUGCAGGCUGAAACUCGCCUGCAUGAAGCCGGAAUCGCUAGUAAUCGCAGAUCAGCAUGCUGCGGUGAAUACGUUCCCGGGUCUU